rnacentral:rRNA from 1 species
GACGAACGCUGGCGGCGUGCUUAACACAUGCAAGUCGAACGGUAAGGCCCUUCGGGGUACACGAGUGGCGAACGGGUGAGUAACACGUGGGUGAUCUGCCCUGCACUUCUGGAUAAGCUUGAUCCACUGGGUCUAAUACCGGAUAGGACCACUGCCUGCAUGGGUGGUGGUGGAAAGCUUUUGCGGUGUGGGAUGGGCCCGCGGCCUAGCAGCUUGUUGGUGGGGUGAUGGCCUACCAAGGCGACGACGGGUAGCCGGCCUGAGAGGGUGACCGGAAAGACUGGGACGGAGAGACGGCCCAGACGAAGACGGGAGUCAGCAAUGGGGAAUCGGCAACAAUGGGAGAAAGACUGAUGCACAGACUCCGCGUGAGGGAUGACGGCCUGAGGGGGGUAAACCGCGUUCAGCACCGACCAAGCGCAAGUGAAGGGAGGUGCAGAAGAAGGAACGGCUAACUACGUGCCAGCCGCCGCCGUAA